GGAAGAGAGCUGUGCCUUUACAGCUUGUGCUUCGGAUACCACAGCAACAAGAAAGCAGGAGAACCAGUAUGACUGACACCGUAAAUACUGGUGUUCAGCCCUGAAUGCAGCAAACUCUGGCGAAGCAAACUGAGGCCCAUUGUCACUUACUAGAGUUGUUGGGUUGCCAUGUCUACUGAAGACAGAGUGAUGAGCCUGUAUUUCUGAAAGUCCUUGGGCCCCAGCUUAUCAUCUCUGGUCAGUCUGCUCACUUUAACUUCAGGAUACUUCAACUUAACAAGCUGAGAACAGAAGCGGAGCAGCACCCGUGC